UUGUUCGGAAUCACUGGGCGUAAAGCGUGCGUAGGCUGUUUCGUAAGUCGUGUGUGAAAGGCAGGGGCUCAACCCCUGGAUUGCACAUGAUACUGCGAGACUAGAGUAAUGGAGGGGGAACCGGAAUUCUCGGUGUAGCAGUGAAAUGCGUAGAUAUCGAGAGGAACACUCGUGGCGAAGGCGGGUUCCUGGACAUUAACUGACGCUGAGGCGCGAAGGCCAGGGGAGCGAAAGGGAUUAGAUACCCCUGUAGUCCUGGCAGUAAACGGUGCACGCUUGGUGUGCGGGGAAUCGACCCCCUGCGUGCCGGAGCUAACGCGUUAAGCGUGCCGCCUGGGGAGUACGGUCGCAAGAUUAAAACUCAGAGAAAUUGACGGGGACCCGCACAAGCGGUGGAGUAUGUGGCUUAAUUCGAUGCAACGCGAAGAA
rnacentral:rRNA from 1 species